AGAGUUUGAUCCUGGCUCAGGAUGAACGCUAGCUACAGGCUUAACACAUGCAAGUCGAGGGGCAGCAUGGUCUUAGCUUGCUAAGGCCGAUGGCGACCGGCGCACGGGUGAGUAACACGUAUCCAACCUGCCGUCUACUCUUGGACAGCCUUCUGAAAGGAAGAUUAAUACAAGAUGGCAUCAUGAGUCCACAUGUUCACAUGAUUAAAGGUAUUCCGGUAGACGAUGGGGAUGCGUUCCAUUAGAUAGUAGGCGGGGUAACGGCCCACCUAGUCUUCGAUGGAUAGGGGUUCUGAGAGGAAGGUCCCCCACAUUGGAACUGAGACACGGUCCAAACUCCUACGGGAGGCAGCAGUGAGGAAUAUUGGUCAAUGGACGAGAGUCUGAACCAGCCAAGUAGCGUGAAGGAUGACUGCCCUAUGGGUUGUAAACUUCUUUUAUACGGGAAUAAAGUGAGCCACGUGUGGCUUUUUGUAUGUACCGUAUGAAUAAGGAUCGGCUAACUCCGUGCCAGCAGCCGCGGUAAUACGGAGGAUCCGAGCGUUAUCCGGAUUUAUUGGGUUUAAAGGGAGCGUAGAUGGAUGUUUAAGUCAGUUGUGAAAGUUUGCGGCUCAACCGUAAAAUUGCAGUUGAUACUGGAUAUCUUGAGUGCAGUUGAGGCAGGCGGAAUUCGUGGUGUAGCGGUGAAAUGCUUAGAUAUCACGAAGAACUCCGAUUGCGAAGGCAGCUUACUGGAUUGUAACUGACGCUGAUGCUCGAAAGUGUGGGUAUCAAACAGGAUUAGAUACCCUGGUAGUCCACACAGUAAACGAUGAAUACUCGCUGUUUGCGAUAUACAGUAAGCGGCCAAGCGAAAGCAUUAAGUAUUCCACCUGGGGAGUACGCCGGCAACGGUGAAACUCAAAGGAAUUGACGGGGGCCCGCACAAGCGGAGGAACAUGUGGUUUAA
rnacentral:rRNA from 1 species